CUGGGAUGAUGCUUCUUUAGCCAAAUCAGACAUUUCGAUGUGCUCCUUAAGGCAUCCACCUCAAUGCUAUUUGUUGGAUGGGAUGCCUUUUGUUGAAGCACAUCCUCUGAUGAUACCCUCGGGAUUGGUUUCUUGUCUGACCAGA